UACGUAGGGAGCAAGCGUUGUCCGGAAUCAUUGGGCGUAAAGCGCGCGUAGGUGGCUUCAUAAGUCCGUUGUGAAAGUCAAAGGCUCAACCUUUGAAAGCCGAUGGAUACUGUGAAGCUAGAGUACGGAAGAGGCGAGUGGAAUUCCUGGUGUAGCGGUGGAAUGCGCAGAUAUCAGGAGGAACACCAAUAGCGAAGGCAGCUCGCUGGGACGUGACUGACACUAAGGCGCGAAAGCGUGGGGAGCGAACAGG
rnacentral:rRNA from 1 species